GGAUCCAGACUUUGAUUAUGGCUCAGGAUGAACGCUAGCUACAGGCUUAACACAUGCAAGUCGAGGGGAAACGACAUCGAAAGCUUGCUUUUGAUGGGCGUCGACCGGCGCACGGGUGAGUAACGCGUAUCCAACAUGCCCACCACUUGGGGAUAACCUUGCGAAAGUAAGACUAAUACCCAAUGACGUCCAUAGAAGACAUCUGAAAUGGAUUAAAGAUUUAUCGGUGAUGGAUGGGGAUGCGUCUGAUUAGCUUGUUGGCGGGGUAACGGCUCACCAAGGCGACGAUCAGUAGGGGUUCUGAGAGGAAGGUCCCCCACAUUGGAACUGAGACACGGUCCAAACUCCUACGGGAGGCAGCAGUGAGGAAUAUUGGUCAAUGGACGAGAGUCUGAACCAGCCAAGUAGCGUGCAGGAAGACGGCCCUAUGGGUUGUAAACUGCCUUUAUAAGGGAAUAAAGUGAGUCUCGUGAGACUUUUUGCAUGUACCUUAUGAAUAAGGACCGGCUAAUUCCGUGCCAGCAGCCGCGGUAAUACGGAAGGUCCGGGCGUUAUCCGGAUUUAUUGGGUUUAAAGGGAGCGUAGGCCGGAGAUUAAGCGUGUUGUGAAAUGUAGACGCUCAACGUCUGCACUGCAGCGCGAACUGGUUUCCUUGAGUACGCACAAAGUGGGCGGAAUUCGUGGUGUAGCGGUGAAAUGCUUAGAUAUCACGAAGAACUCCGAUUGCGAAGGCAGCUCACUGGAGCGCAACUGACGCUGAAGCUCGAAAGUGCGGGUAUCGAACAGGAUUAGAUACCCUGGUAGUCCGCACGGUAAACGAUGGAUGCCCGCUGUUGGUCUGAAUAGGUCAGCGGCCAAGCGAAAGCAUUAAGCAUCCCACCUGGGGAGUACGCCGGCAACGGUGCAACUCAAAUGAAUUGACGG
rnacentral:rRNA from 1 species